UUCUCGCUGCUGCACCGCCCCAUGAAUGAGCGCUGGUGCUCAGGGUUCGAACGUAUCGCUUUUUUCUCUUCCCCCCUCCCCACUCCCCACUCAGUGGUGUGGACUUGCGAGGAAAUGGAGGAUCUGUGCCCUCGACGGGUGUGGGGCUUCUCGACGGGGUGCAUCCUUGCCCCUGGGCGCUGGACACUCGACGUGGCCUCUCACCACCUCUCUCACACCCACGUGAAAGGCGACAAGGCCGCCACUGAUUCGGCCGCCCCGGGCAACGACACCAUCAGAGGAGAUGCACUCCCGCUCGGCACGUCCAGCAACACGGCGCGCUUCGAGAGCAUGGACGAGACCGGGGCAACACUGUACGUGACGGAGCUGUUUGUGCCGCAUGCGAGCCACGUGGACGUCGCUGGCGCGGCUGCAUCAGACGCUUCAGGGCAAUCAAACUGGUCUGCAGAGAGACUGCGAGCAAGCCUCCUGCGCCAACCCUCAUGGCGGGUCAGCCCGACCCAGGGACGUGAUAGCGCGGCAUCUCCCGCAACUGUGGCGGCGGAGAGCGGCUGCGUCGAGCGUGAGCGUGCGCCGCUGCGCGCAUGGGUGGUGGAGGUCACGGCACUUCCUUCGCCUUCCUCGACUCUCGCGGCGGUGCCGCCUUCCACGUCUGCCGACAUCGCCACCACCACCCCCGCUUCUUGUUCGGUGGCGGCUGCGCUGCUACCCCUUUUUCGAGUCUUCCUGGAGGUGGUGUGGGACGGCGGCACGUCAACAUCAGCGGUCUCUCGCACCGUCGACGAUGCGGUGCGCCGCAUCCUGGCGCACCUAGAGUCACUUUACCGUACGCCAGCCCUUGAGCUGGAUGUGUUCCGCUGCUUCGUCGGGAGUGCAGCAGCCAGCGACGCUGCUCCGGGCGGGUCGGCGCGAGUGUCUCCGCAGACUGCUAAGGCAAAGACUGUCGCAUCUGUCGUCAAGCAACUGCGGGAACCGUGCGCGCCGCACGCGCUGGCGGACAUGGGUACCGACGCUCUCAGCUCAGCCUGGGGGGUGAGCCUUUACUCGGUGGCUGGCGCAGCGUUUGUUCAGCUACUCCAACCCUCCUGCUCUUCACGACCGCCGCCGCCGCAGCAGCACCACCAGAGUGCCGUCGGCGAGGCACAUGGAAGCCGGUCGUACUGGAGCCUGUACCUCGUCUCCAUAUCUCCCGCCGCCAGGCAUGGUGGUGCCGCCUCUGCGGUGCAGCACCUUCUCCAGUACGACCUGCAACUGUGCUGGGAGGGACUGGCGCUGUCCACGGCGAUAGCGGGAGCAGAAACGGUGGUUGCGGUGGCUGCGCUCCCACUGGACAGCGCAGACGCCGAGCCGAGCUCCAUCUACAGCUUCCCCUCGGUGGAGCGGGCGUGGGAGGUGCAUGUGCGUCGUUUUCUGAGCCAGCAGCGGGGUCAAGAGCACACGAGGGGUCUGGCUCGAGAUAAUACUGAUGUGGACAGCAAUGUGGGGCGUCACGACACUGUGCGGGAGUGGGAGCUGCGCAGACUUUCAACGUCGUCUCGUCCGGUGUUGGGGCAGCUUGACGCCAUGCUGCACAAUGCAGAGCUGCAGCAGUGUGUCGUGGACGAUCCAUCGCUAAGCAGCGGGGAGCGUUCCAUGCGUCUGGUCGCACGCGAUGUUGGGGCACCGCUGGUUGCGCCGCGGUGCACAUCGUACCUUCUCCGCAUUCGCCGCGGCGCUGCAGGUGGCGAACAGGUGCGUGCCAACGUCUCAGACGACCACGCGCACGGCUUUGCAGCGACGCAGACGCCUGCACCUACUGAUGCAACGCAUACAGACACACGAGCGGAGGAGCGGUAUGUACUCCAGCUGCACGCACCACGGGUACUGAGUACACAUGCACUGGUGGUGUGCAUGGCUGUUCCCACGUCGUUGGUCGCGAAUGAGAGCCGCCCGGAUAAGCGCGCCGCGACGGAGGCAGGCGCGGAAGCGAGGGCCUUCAGCGCAGACGAUGCCGGCUCCUUGGCAGCAGCAGCUCUUAGCGCGAUGUACCGCAUUGCCCCCUACGUCCCUUCACUCUGGCUACCACGCGAGGUGGCCCUGCGCGGCGGCAGUGGCGUCUGCUCGCGGUCAGGCAGGCUCCUGCUCCACUUGCCCGCCUGCGACGCGCGCUAUGGCAACAUCCACGUGGCUCCGGUUGCAUCCAACGUCUUCACCACCCUUGGCUCCAUCAUUGCAUGGAGUGCGCAGAGCCCAUCGUCACGCCAAGGAGACGCUGCCGGUAGCGACACCUCGUCGCUUGUUUUUCCCACGUGCGCCUCCCUCGCUAACACGUGCGCAGUGUGGACGCUGAUCGGUGACGGCCGCAAUGCCGCCGCGUACCUUGAAGACACGGUGUCCGAGUACAUGUACGACACCGGCGCUAAGAGUCUUCUCAACGUAGGGCAGCCGAGUCAGCACGAGCGCCAGCCAGGCCUGCUUGUAGUGCGACGAAAGCCAAAGAAGCGGUACAGCACGACAGGCUCCGCAACCGUGUCUGGGGCGGGUAAUGGGACAGUGUCAUCUCUUGCUGUGCAAGAGGUGUGCUCCGCGUGGCUGGACGUUGGUGAGACACACCGGUUGUUCCUUUCCGUGCGCGAUGUCGGAGUUGGUGAGGUGCUGCUGGCCAAGGGCUCACUCGUCGGGCCGCACACUGAAUUCCUCCGCAGGGACGGCAAGAGUCGCGAUGCCGUCACUGCCGCACUGGAGGCGGCCAGUCGCGCGGAGGAGGCGGCGCUGGAAGAAUGGAUAGGCGGCUUUGCUGCUGCUGCCGUUGCUCCACAGCGCCGGUGAUGGCAGGACUCACACAUCUGCGAUGCGCGCUAACGGCGACGUGUUGUUUGAGUCCGCGGCACGCGAAGGUUGUGCCUCGUAGGUACCCUUUCUUCGUUUUUUUUGUGCUUGUGCACCAUCGCAUCUUGUCACGCAUCACACCCUGGUCGUCGUGUUUGUGGCUGUGUUUAGCCGCACAGGUAUGUGUGCCGCUUCAGCCGUGUGUGCAGCGAGGCGUGGUAGUGGUAAUGGUGAUGGGGAGGGGGCGCUCUUCUCCCAAUCCAGCGCUCUCCUCUCCAUGCUUGUGCCUCCUUUUCGUGC
rnacentral:misc_RNA from 1 species